rnacentral:RNase_P_RNA from 1 species
CGAAGAGCAAGCGCUGCUUCCGGGUUUCGACCUGAGGAAACUCCCUUCUCCAGCCAGGCAGCGGUGUGGAACAUCCACGAGGUGAGAACCUCCCUCUGAGAACAGAAAUGAUACGUCCUAACAAGAUACGAUGAUGAUUCGGAACGACGACGUGGUGACACGGUUGCAAACUCGAUGAAGACUUGUUAGGAAUAGUUGAAACAGCUCAUGACCGUUGGAGCAAGUCCAAGUAGAUUUCGGAUGAGACGCCUGGGCAACGAAAUGGGUAGGACGCAUAGCUAAAUGCAGCAAGAAGAAUCUGGGCAACCUUAUUCUUGGAACAGAAAAGGGGUUACUCUGCUGAUCG